UGAUAUCACAACGGUCAGCCCCAAAUCUGGGUUGCACUUAGAUACUAGGGUUCUUCGAUUAAGAAUUCAACAAUCUAAACUUUUCUUCAAAACUUGUUGAAACCUUAAUCGAAUAACCUCAGCAUCUCCUAUUUUGCCUUUGGAUCGUCGCUGGUGACCAAACCUUCAUAAAGUUCUCAAACCCAGAAAGGGCAGCAGCCUGAAGAUAAGAUGCAAGGCCAUAUUAGGGAAGUUACUUGAGCUUGCAUUACAUUGUAUAGAGCUUUCUGAAUGGCAAAAUUUAUGGGAGAGACCAUGUUUCCAACAUCAAUGAACUGCAAGUGAAAGCAACUGUUGGCAUGAUAACUGUUGAAAAGUAAUUGACACUGGGAAGUUCUAAAUUAAUCUACUGUUGAAGAAUAGACAGCCAUAUAAAUACUUGUAUGGCAUGAGCUUCUUCUUCUGUCGUCUGAAAUAAAUCUUGUUUUUAUUUAAAUGUUAUGAUGGAGACUAGAAGGCGCUUGAAACAUCUAUCCAAUAUCGACGCUUCCUUAUCCCUCAGCCACCACCAUGUUAAUGUGACGACGAGGUGCGUACAAGCGACUCUCUUCAUGGGGAAGCGAAGCCAAAAAUCAUGACUGUUGCAGAUGGGAAGGAGUGUACUGUGGCCCCCUGACAGACCAUGUGAUUCAACUUCAUCUUGAAGGAGUCUCGUCACAAGGACUUUCAUCUUUGGAAGAAGUAGAUGCGUGCUUCCCUUGAGUUGAGGAGUCCACAGUUGCCAUGGACAACAAUAAAGCAAGUUUUCGAGGUUGGAGUGCAAGUUAAAUUCACAAUUAAGAGAUAAUUGAAGCCUAGCUAGUAACUAAUUUUUUUUUUUUCCCUGCUGCUUAAAAUACCAUUUGAU